rnacentral:rRNA from 1 species
UAAGGAAUAUUGGUCAAUGGACGGAAGUCUGAACCAGCCAUGCCGCGUGGAGGAUGAAGGUCCUCUGGAUUGUAAACUUCUUUUAUAUGGGGCGAAAAAGGGCCAUUCUUGGUCAACUGACGGUACCAUAUGAAUAAGCACCGGCUAACUCCGUGCCAGCAGCCGCGGUAAUACGGAGGGUGCAAGCGUUAUCCGGAUUCACUGGGUUUAAAGGGAGCGUAGGCGGGCGUGUAAGUCAGUGGUGAAAGCCCUCAGCUUAACUGAGGAACUGCCAUUGAUACUAUACGUCUUGAAUGUCGUUGAGGUUUGCGGAAUGGGUCAUGUAGCGGUGAAAUGCUUAGAUAUGACCCGGAACACCUAUUGCGAAGGCAGCAGGCUAAACGAAUAUUGACGCUGAGGCUCGAAAGCGUGGGGAGCAAACAGG